GAUGAACGCUGGCGGCGUGCCUAAUACAUGCAAGUCGAGCGAACAGAUAAGGAGCUUGCUCCUUUGACGUUAGCGGCGGACGGGUGAGUAACACGUGGGUAACCUACCUAUAAGACUGGGAUAACUUCGGGAAACCGGAGCUAAUACCGGAUAAUAUUUCGAACCGCAUGGUUCGAUAGUGAAAGAUGGUUUUGCUAUCACUUAUAGAUGGACCCGCGCCGUAUUAGCUAGUUGGUAAGGUAACGGCUUACCAAGGCGACGAUACGUAGCCGACCUGAGAGGGUGAUCGGCCACCCUGGAACUGAGACACGGUCCAGACUCCUACGGGAGGCAGCAGUAGGGAAUCUUCCGAAAUGGGCGAAAGCCUGACGGAGCAACGCCGCGUGAGUGAUGAAGGUCUUCGGAUCGUAAACUCUGUUAUUAGGGAAGAACAUACGUGUAAGUAACUGUGCACGUCUUGACGGUACCUAAUCAGAAAGCCACGGCUAACUACGU
rnacentral:rRNA from 1 species